GAUGAACGCUAGCUACAGGCUUAACACAUGCAAGUCGAGGGGAAACGACAUCGAAAGCUUGCUUUUGAUGGGCGUCGACCGGCGCACGGGUGAGUAACGCGUAUCCAACCUGCCCAUCACUUGGGGAUAACCUUGCGAAAGUAAGACUAAUACCCAAUGAUAUCUCUAGAAGACAUCUGAAAGAGAUUAAAGAUUUAUCGGUGAUGGAUGGGGAUGCGUCUGAUUAGCUUGUUGGCGGGGUAACGGCCCACCAAGGCAACGAUCAGUAGGGGUCCUGAGAGGAAGGUCCCCCACAUUGGAACUGAGACACGGUCCAAACUCCUACGGGAGGCAGCAGUGAGGAAUAUUGGGCAAUGGGCGAGAGCCUGAACCAGCCAAGUAGCGUGCAGGAAGACGGCCCUAUGGGUUGUAAACUGCUUUUAUAAGGGAAUAAAGUGAGAGUCGUGACUCUUUUUGUAUGUACCUUAUGAAUAAGGACCGGCUAAUUCCGUG
rnacentral:rRNA from 1 species